CAGGGAGACAACAAAAUGUUUAAUAUUAAUUUUGUCACCUUAGGUCGAUCGGUAUCUCACAUUCUUAAUUUAUUAAGAAUUUUAUUUCCUAAGUUUUUUCUAGGUCACACCCAUUACUUUUCCCUGGGCCAUUAGCUCAGGUGGUUAGAGCGCACCCCUGAUAAGGGUGAGGUCCCUGGUUCAAGUCCAGGAUGGCCCAUAUCUCUAUGUUGGGGGUAUAGCUCAGUUGGUAGAGCGCCUGCUUUGCAAGCAGGAUGUCAGCGGUUCGAGUCCGCUUACCUCCACUGAUUACCACCUCUUCCAUAAUCUUUUAAAGGAAAUGUUUUGAGUUGUGAUCAAAUUCUGAACGAAUCUAGCUUCCUAAUGAAUUCAUUAAGAUGCUGGACUCAUUGAAUUAAUUUCAUUGUUUUCAGAGAACCUUGACAACUGCAUAGAUUAUUUUUAAAGACAAUAAGCAUCUUUAAUGAUGCAGAUUUAUUAUUUGUGCGAAUGCAUUAAUAACAAUUCUAUUAAGCUGAUGCUUCAAUUUUGAAGUUAUU
rnacentral:tRNA from 1 species